rfam:Nippostrongylus brasiliensis genome assembly, scaffold: NBR_scaffold0000186
ACAUCGGUCGCACGGUGGUUAGUGCAGUCUGUCGGAAACGGAAAGACGCGGGUUCAAUUCCCGUCCGAUGUC